rnacentral:rRNA from 1 species
GACGAACGCUGGCGGCGUGCCUAAUACAUGCAAGUAGAACGCUGAAGGAGGAGCUUGCUUCUCUGGAUGAGUUGCGAACGGGUGAGUAACGCGUAGGUAACCUGCCUGGUAGCGGGGGAUAACUAUUGGAAACGAUAGCUAAUACCGCAUAAGAGUAGAUGUUGCAUGACAUUUGCUUAAAAGUUGCAAUUGCAUCACUACCAGAUGGACCUGCGUUGUAUUAGCUAGUUGGUGGGGUAACGGCUCACCAAGGCGACGAUACAUAGCCGACCUGAGAGGGGGAGUGGCCACACUGGGACUGAGACACGGCCCAGACUCCUACGGGAGGCAGCAGUAGGGAAUCUUCGGCAAUGGACGGAAGUCUGAGCGAGCAACGCCGCGUGAGUGAAGAAGGGUGUCGGAUCGUAAAGCUCGGUUGUAAGAGAAGAACGAGUGUGAGAGUGGAAAGUUCACACUGUGACGGUAUCUGACCAGAAAGGGACGGCUAACUACGUG